AUAUAGAGUUCGUCUUUCUCUGUCUGGCUUAUUUCACUUAACAUAAUACCCUCAAGGUCCAUCCAUGUUGAUGUGAAUGGAACAAUUUGGUCCUUUUUUAUGGCUGAGUAGUAUUCCAUUGUGUAUAUAUACCAUAUCUUCUUUAUCCAGUCAUCAGUUUCUGGGCAUUUAGGUUGGUUACACGUCUUGGCUAUUGUAAAUAAUGCUGCGAUGAACAUAGGGGUGCAUGGGACUCUUGGGAUUGCUGAUUUCAGGUUCUUGGGAUAGAUACCCAGUAGUGGGAUGGCUGGGUCAUAGGGCAUUUCUAUUUUUAACUUUUUGAGAAAUCUCCAUACUGUUUUUCAUAGUGGCUGCACUAGUUUGCAUUCCCACCAACAGUGUAUGAGGGUUCCUUUUUCUCCACAACCUCUCCAACAUUUGUCACUCUUGGUUUUGGAUAUUUUUGCCAAUCUAACAGGUGUAAGGUGAUAUCUUAGUGUAGUUUUGAUUUGCAUUUCCCUGAUGAUUAGCGAUGAUGAACAUCUUUUCAUGUGUCUAUUGGCCAUACUUAUAUCUUUUUGGAGAAAUGUCUGUUCAUGUCCUCUGCCCAUUUUUUGAUCGGGUUGUUUGUUUUUUUGUUGUUAAGCUGUGUGAGUUCUUUGUAUAUUAUGGAGAUUAAUCCUUUGUCAGAUAAGUAGCUUAUAAAUAUUUUUUCCCAAUUAGUGGGCUGUUUUUUUGUUUCAAUCCUGUUUUCUCUUGCCUUGAAGAAACUCUUUAGUCUGAUGAAGUCCCAUUUGUUUAUUCUUUCUAUUGUUUCCCUCAUCUGAGGAGUUAUAGUGUCCAAAAAGAUUCUUUUGAAACUGAUGUCAAAGAGUGUACUGCCUAUAUUCUCUUCUAGAAGACUUAUUGUUUCAGGCCUAAUCUUUAGGUCUUUGAUCCAUUUUGAGUUUAUUUUUGUGAAUGGUGAAAAAGAAUGGUCAAUUUUUAUUCUUUUACAUGUGGCUGUCCAGUUUUCCCAGCACCAUUUGUUGAAGAGACUUUCUUUUCUCCAUUGUAGGCCUUCAGUUCCUUUGUCAAAGAUUAGCUGUCCAUAGAUGUGUGGUUUUUAUCUCUGGGCUUUCAGUUCUGUUCCAUUGAUCUGUACACCUGUUUUGGUACCAAUACCAUGCUGUUUUGAUCACUGUAUCUUUGUAGUAUGUUUUGAAAUUGGGGAUUGUGAUGCCUCCAGCUUUGUUUUUCUUACUCAGGAUUGCUUUAGCAAUUCGCGGUCUUUUGUUGCCCCAUAUGAAUUUUAGGAUUCUUUGUUCAAUUUCUGUAAAGAAUGUCCUUGGGAUUCUGAUUGGGAUAGUGUUGAACCUGUAGAUUGCUUUAGGUAGUAUGGACAUUUUAACUAUGUUUAUUCUUCCAAUCCAUGUGCAUGGAAUGUCUUUCCAUCUCUUUAUGUCGUUGUCAAUUUCUUUCAAGAAAGUCUUGUAGUUUUCAUUGUAUAAAUCUUUCACUUCCUUGGUUAAAUUUAUCCCAAGGUAUUUUAUUCUUUUCAUUGCAAUUGUGAAUGGGAUUGAGUUCUUGAGUUCUUUUUCUGUUAGUUCAUUGUUAGUGUAUAGAAAUGCUAC
rnacentral:lncRNA from 1 species